GACGUAGGGGGCGAGCGUUGUCCGGAUUUAUUGGGCGUAAAGCGUGCGUAGGCGGCUGCGCAAGUCGGUUGUGAAACCCCGGGGCUCAACCCCGGAACUGCAUCCGAUACUGCGUGGCUAGAGGUAGGUAGGGGAGAUCGGAAUUCCUGGUGUAGCGGUGAAAUGCGCAGAUAUCAGGAGGAACACCGGUGGCGAAGGCGGGUCUCUGGGCCGAUACUGACGCUGAGGCGCGAAAGCGUGGGGAGCAAACAGG
rnacentral:rRNA from 1 species